CCAGCACUAAAGCACCGGAUCCCAUCAGAACUCCGCAGUUAAGCGUGCUUGGGCGAGAGUAGUACUAGGAUGGGUGACCCCCUGGGAAGUCCUCGUGUUGCAUCCC
rnacentral:rRNA from 1 species